GGGGCGGUGGCGGAAUUGGCAGACGCCGGGGACUUAAAAUCCUCUGAGGGAAACCUCGUGUGGGUUCGACUCCCACUCGCCCCACCA
rnacentral:tRNA from 2 species